GAUCCUGGCUCAGAAUCAACGCUGGCGGCGUGCCUCAGACAUGCAAGUCGAACGAUUAAACUUUCCUUCGGGAAAGAUAUAAAGUGGCGCACGGGUGAGUAACACGUAAGUAAUCUACCUUCGAGUGGGGAAUAACAUCGGGAAACCGAUGCUAAUACCGCAUAAUGCAGCGGCAUCGAAAGAUGACAGUUGUUAAAGGAGCAAUUCGCUUGAAGAGGAGCUUGCGGCAGAUUAGCUAGUUGGUAAGGUAAUGGCUUACCAAGGCUACGAUCUGUAUCCGGUCUAAGAGGACGGUCGGACACACUGACACUGAAUAACGGGUCAGACUCCUACGGGAGGCAGCAGUCGGGAAUUUUGGGCAAUGGGCGAAAGCCUGACCCAGCAACGCCGCGUGAAGGAUGAAGUAUUUCGGUAUGUAAACUUCGAAAGAAUGGGAAGAAUAAAUUGACGGUACCAUUUAUAAGGUCCGGCUAACUACGUGCCAGCAGCCGCGGUAAUACGUAGGGACCAAGCGUUGUUCGGAUUUACUGGGCGUAAAGGGCGCGUAGGCGGCAAAUUAAGUCAGCUGUGAAAUCUCCGAGCUUAACUCGGAACUGUCAGCUGAUACUGAUCUGCUUGAGUGCGGAAGGGGCAAUCGGAAUUCUUGGUGUAGCGGUGAAAUGCGUAGAUAUCAAGAGGAACACCUGAGGU
rnacentral:rRNA from 1 species